CAUCAAUCAUACUAGGCAGCGGACGCAUCAUCAAUAGCUGAGUUUUCACAACAUCAUACUCAUCAUUGAGUCCUCUCAUAAAUCUAAUCAAAUAAUCCGUCUCUUGCUUAGUCUGGAAUGCCACGACUGCUGGACAUGGUAAGGGGUUUCCAGGUGCACAGGAACAUGGGACUAUGGGUGAGAACUGUGAAUACUCCUCCCAUAGCCCUUUUA
rnacentral:lncRNA from 1 species